rnacentral:ncRNA from 1 species
AAUAUCUGGGGUGCUUAUUAUAGCUGAGAAAUACCCAUGAACCUGAUUUGGUUAAUACCAACGUAGGAAGAUAUU